rnacentral:lncRNA from 1 species
UCAGCAGAUCCCAAGAGGGAAGCUGGCAGCCACGUGGGCAUGUCACUUGUGCCAGCUUUGUCCUGCAGUUUCUGCUUCCUGGAGUGUGGGGCACCCACCCAGGAGAGCACGGGCACACCCCACACCUCUCGUUUUGAGGGUGCUGGGAGGUGUGGGACCUAGGUCCUGCAGCCCUGUGCUUGUGCCGUGAAAAUUAGCCUAGGAGUCCCGUGUCCGCCCAUCCACGUGGAGCCCCAGGAGCCUG